rnacentral:rRNA from 1 species
UACGUAGGUGGCAAGCGUUGUCCGGAUUUACUGGGCGUAAAGAGCGCGCAGGCGGUCGUGCAAGUCGCGUGUGAAAGCCCCCGGCUCAACUGGGGAGGGUCAUUCGAUACUGAUCGACUGGAAGGCAGGAGAGGGAAGCGGAAUUCCCGGUGUAGUGGUGAAAUGCGUAGAUAUCGGGAGGAAGACCAGUGGCGAAGGCGGGUCUCUGGACAGUUCCUGACACUGAGGCACGAAGGCCAGGGGAGCAAACGGG